CCCUGGGCUACACACGUGCUACAAUGGAAAGUACAAUGGGUCGCCAACCCGCAAGGGGGAGCCAAUCCCAUCAAAACUUUCCCCAGUUCAGAUUGGGGGCUGCAACUCGCCCCCAUGAAGUAGGAAUCGCUAGUAAUCGCGGAUCAGCAUGCCGCGGUGAAUACGUUCUCGAGUCUUGUACUCACCGCCCGUCAUACCAAGGGAGCCGGGAGUGGCUGAAGUUCGACGUUACGUCGGAACACGCCAAGCUCGGUAAAAAGGGUGAAGUGGUAACAAGGCAUCCGUAGCGGAAGCUGCGGAUGGAUCAUCUCCUUU
rnacentral:rRNA from 1 species